rnacentral:rRNA from 1 species
AGAAGGGUCUGGGCUCGAGCCUGCCUGGAGCCGCCGCCGGUGCAGAUCUUGGUGGUAGUAGCAAAUACUCCAGCGAGGCCCUGGAGGACUGAUGUGGAGAAGGGUUUCGUGUGAACAGCCGUUGCACACGAGUCAGUCGAUCCUAAGCCCUAGGAGAAAUCCGACGCCUACGGCGACGGGAAAAAUUUUUCAAAUCGACCCGUUGAUCGGGCGAAAGGGAAUCCGGUUCCUAUUCCGGAACCCGGCAGCGGAACCGCUGUUUGUCGGGCCCUCACAAGGGGUUCGUCAGGGUAACCUAAAAGGGCCCGGAGACGCCGUCGGGAGCCCCGGAAAGAGUUUUCUUUUCUGCAUGAGCGUUCGAGUUCCCUGGAAUCCUCUCGCAGGGAGAUAGGGUUUGGAACGCGAAGAGCACCGCAGUUGCGGCGGUGCCCGGGAAUUCCCGACGGACCUUGAAAAUCCGGGAGAGGGCCACGUGGAGGUGUCGCGCCGGCUCGUACCCAUAUCCGCAGCAGGUCUCCAAGGUGAAGAGCCUCUAGUCGAUAGAAUAAUGUAGGUAAGGGAAGUCGGCAAAUCGGAUCCGUAACUUCGGG